rnacentral:sRNA from 1 species
GAUUGAUUGUUUUGACGACAGUGUAAUACCGGGUACAGAGAAACCUUUGCUUAGGAACGCCACAUACCCAAACGUAGCCAGGGAAACAAAUGGCCGAUUUGAAGACAUCAAUGACUUGGACCCGUCAGUGCGAGACAUCCAGCCUGAUGAGCUUCUGUCAAUAGUUCGACAACUUGAAGAAGAGGACCAGCCAGAGCCGCUGAACACUUGGCGAAGAGAAGAACUGGCUCCAGAAUAUUUAAACGAGGUCUAAGUCCACACAUACUUCACCAUCACUCAGCAAUGUGCAGAAUCGAAAGCAAACCGAUUAAAAAUAAAUAAAGUGUUAUUUAUCAAAAUAA